UGGUGAAGAACAAUAGAAUGAAGGUUCAUAGGCACACAAGCAAUUGGUGAGGAACAAUAGAAUGAAGGCUCAUCUUAGUGAUUGACGGGUAUUGGAGCUUGGAAGGGAAAUAGACUUUUUGAAGUUUUUAUGAAUGUCAACAUUUUGCAUACUGAAGACUUUAGAUAAAUGAAUAUUUUUGAUGUAAUAGAUGUUAAUUUUGUUGGAUGGUAAUUAGACGUUGUGAUAUAAAGUUUAAUGAUAUAGAAACAAUUAUCAUGAAUUAUCGGAUGAUGUUUUAAUAUAUUAUGUUUUAGUUUU